CUUUUUUUUUUUAUCUUUUUUUAUCGAUUUUUUAACGCUCUGUUACCUAGACAAAUACCCAAAUUCGAAAUCUCACGUAGAAGCACACAUCCCGCGUUGCCCAGCACCUGCCCAGCUCCUCCCUCGCAUCGCCUCCCUCUGCCCAGCUCCACCCUGCGAUGGGUUCCCUCUGUUCAGCGCCGCCACUCCCCGCAAGGUCAUUGAACGGUGUCGCACCUCCCGCGAGCUGAUCGAAACCCCCCUUCUUCUUCUCUGUGAAUCUCUCAAGUUUCCUCACAAAACCCACAGAUCUUCUUCUUAUUCUCUGUGAAUCGCGGAGUGGCGCUGACGAGGUUGACAACCCAGCAUUCCGAAUUUGCUUCUCUGUGAAUCAUGGAACUCAGGAUCUAUAGAUUUUUCCUUUAUUUUUUCCCCUUGCUUGAAACAUGCAUUUUACGCUUAGAAGAGGCCAUUUCGAGCGCCCCGAGUCUCCAGUUCGGGGCUGUUUCGUCGCCCUCUACCCAGCUUCAUAGUCUAUGAAUGGCAGGUAUAGCUUGAGCUGCAUCCCCUUUCGCGAGGUCCAUGAUUUCAAAGGUUGUGGUUUCCUGUUUUGAUACUGAUUUUUAGAGCAAUGUGCACCAUAUAUAAGAGGCCAUGAUGUAAUCCAUUCAAGAACUUCUUAGCAUGAUCACCCUAUGUGCGAUUUUUGCGCGUUGAUGCACACAGGGAGUCUAGUCCACUCUGAACGCAGCAAAGUUGCAGAAUUGAGAUUUGUGCAUGCUGGACUGAGAUUGUGAUCAACUUUACCUAAUUUCCUAUGUUAAUUGAAUUUCCUAUGUUAAUUGAAAUUGAGCUGUUAUUUAACUAUGUAGUCUUUUCACCUAGGCCGUUGAAUUCCAUUGAAACCAACUCCACUUUUGCAUGUUGACAAGGUACAUUUGCUGAAAUUGUGGUGAUCGUUAAUGGAGAUGUAUAUUAUAAUAUA